rnacentral:tRNA from 1 species
GGAGAGAUGGCAGAGUCCGGUCGAAUGCAGCUGACUCGAAAUCAGCCAUACCUUUACGGGUAUCGGGGGUUCAAAUCCCUCUCUCUCCGCCA